rnacentral:rRNA from 1 species
UACGGGGGGGGUAAGCGUUGUUCGGAAGUACUGGGCGUAAAGGGCUCGUAGGCGGCCAACUAAGGCGGACGUGAAAUCCCUCAGCUUAACUGGGGAACUGCGUCCGAUACUGGAUGGCUUGGAUUUGGGAGAGGGAUGCGGAAUUCCAGGUGUAGCGGUGAAAUGCGUAGAUAUCUGGAGGAACACCGGUGGCGAAGGCGGCAUCCUGGACCAAUAUUGACGCUGAGGAGCGAAAGCCAGGGGAGCAAACGGG